rnacentral:rRNA from 1 species
AUUGAACGCUGGCGGCAUGCCUUACACAUGCAAGUCGAACGGCAUCGCGGGAAAGCUUCCUUUCCUGGCGGCGCGUGGCGCACGGGUGUGUAACACAUCGGACCGUCCUGGCUAGCGGGGGAUAACUCGUCGAACGGCGGGUUAAUCCCGCUUACGCUCUUCGGCGCAUAGCUGGGGACUUUUGGGCCUUGCGCCUGCCGCUUGUCCGAUGCCCAAUUAGCCAGUUGGUAGGGUAAAGGCCUACCAAGGCCACGAUCGGUAGCGGGCCUGAGAGGUUGAUCCGCCACACUGGAACUGAGACACGGCCCAGACUCCUACGGGAGGCAGCAGUAGGGAAUCUUGGACAAUGGGGGAAAGCCUGAUCCAGCAAUGCCGCGUGGGUGAAGAAGGCCUUCGGGUUGUAAAGCCCUUUCGGCAGGGAAGAAAACGGCGGGGCGAAUAACCCUGCUGGAUGACGGUACCUGCAGAAGAAGCACCGGCUAACUACGUG